UGGAGUGGUAAGCAUAAUGGUACUGCAGCGGUUUACUAAACCGUUACGCCUGACCGGCGUUGCUGGUUCAAGUCCAGCUCACUCCGU
rnacentral:tRNA from 1 species